UACGGAGAGUGCGAACGUUGUUCGGAUUCACUGGGCGUAAAGGGCACGUAGGCGGCUUGGCAAAUCGGUCGUGGAAUCCCGACGCUUACCGUCGGAACGGCGGCCGAAAAUACCGAGCUCGAGGGCGUGAGGGGUCACUGGAACUCCUGGUGAAGCGGUGAAUGCGUAGAUAUCAGGAGGAACGCCGGAGGCGAAAGCGAGUGACUGGCGCGUUUCUGACGCUGAGGUGCGAAAGCUAGGG
rnacentral:rRNA from 1 species